rnacentral:rRNA from 1 species
UACGGAAGUGGCGAGCGUUGUUCGGAAUCACUGGGCGUAAAGGGCGCGUAGGCGGGGUCGGAAGUCGGGUGUGAAAGCCCCGGGCUCAACCCGGGAACGGCGCCCGAGACUCUGGCUCUUGAGUCCCGGAGAGGCGGGUGGAAUUCCUGGUGUAGCGGUGAAAUGUGUAGAGAUCAGGAGGAACACCGGUGGCGUAGGCGGCCCGCUGGACGGGAGACUGACGCUGGAGGCGCGAAAGCGUGGGGAGCAAACGGG